AUAUCAAUAAGCGGAGGAAAAGAAACCAACCGGGAUUGCCUUAGUAACGGCGAGUGAAGCGGCAAAAGCUCAAAUUUGAAAUCUGGUACCUUCGGUGCCCGAGUUGUAAUUUGGAGAGGGCAACUUUGGGGCCGUUCCUUGUCUAUGUUCCUUGGAACAGGACGUCAUAGAGGGUGAGAAUCCCGUGUGGCGAGGAGUGCGGUUCUUUGUAAAGUGCCUUCGAAGAGUCGAGUUGUUUGGGAAUGCAGCUCUAAGUGGGUGGUAAAUUCCAUCUAAAGCUAAAUAUUGGCGAGAGACCGAUAGCGAACAAGUACAGUGAUGGAAAGAUGAAAAGAACUUUGAAAAGAGAGUGAAAAAGUACGUGAAAUUGUUGAAAGGGAAGGGCAUUUGAUCAGACAUGGUGUUUUGUGCCCUCUGCUCCUUGUGGGUAGGGGAAUCUCGCAUUUCACUGGGCCAGCAUCAGUUUUGGUGGCAGGAUAAAUCCAUAGGAAUGUAGCUUGCCUCGGUAAGUAUUAUAGCCUGUGGGAAUACUGCCAGCUGGGACUGAGGACUGCGACGUAAGUCAAGGAUGCUGGCAUAAUGGUUAUAUGCCG
rnacentral:rRNA from 1 species